AAAAAAGCUCUCGCCUUGCUUUUUGCCUAAAACCAAAGGACAGCCGACCUUGAUAAAACUGAUAAUAUUAUAUAUGAGAUGGAUGGGGCGCCAACUAUGAACUAACUGGAUGUGUUAGUUACCUGUUAGCAUUAAUAUGUGGAAGUCUCUAUCCUGGUUUUAGAUGAAAGCUUGUAGUUGACCACAAACUACAGUGAACAAAUUAUUGUAACUAACAACAGAACGCUGACUUUUCUUAUGUUGCCAGCCACAGAAAAGUGUCCGAUAGCGGUUUUCCUGUACCUAUCACCACCCAACAUUACCGAGGAAGCCAUGGCUAGCUCCUCCAUUAGUUUCAUUUGGCCAUUCCUCCUGGUUCUGAGGUGUGGGAAAACAUCGGCUUCUUCUAAGUGUAGAUUUAAUAUUAACUCCUCCCUUUAACGUGAUUAGAGAGAGACUCUCUCUCAAAGUUUUAUCUCUUUUAGGGUUUUUGCCCUUGUCCUCUUGGCUAGCCGAAGCCGUCCCUGGCGUUCCGAGAUAGGCGAAGCUUUUCCUCUCCUUCCAAAGGUAUA
rnacentral:misc_RNA from 1 species